AGAAGUGAACUUGUGUCUGCUGAAAUUAUCUUAAGAGGAAACCCAUGUUUGGAGGCAUUACCAUCCCUGUCUUUCCUCCAGCACACCCAGUUCUGUGUGUAAUAUUCCAUCCCCCUCUGCCUGGCCAAAGUCCUAGUGCUCCCUCAAGGCCUCUAUCAAAUGCUGCCUCCUUGAAAAUGAAGGCUUUUCCCUUCUCUCCCAGCUGGCAGUGGCUUCUCCUGCUUUUGAAGCCCCCACAGCGCCAUCUCCUUCUUAGUGAUGUGUAUCCUGGUGGGCUUACAUUAUCUUUCGUGCCCCUCUGACUGUUCUCCCCCAGCUGUGUCGAAGGUAGGGGCUCCUUCUCUGUGACCCCCCCACCCCACUGUAGCAUUUCCACACUUGAUUCGAGUUGCCUGUUCGCAUGUUUUCCUCUGUCACCUCCUCGAGGACGUAUCUGAGUUGUGCCGGGAACGUAGUAGAUGCUUCACACACAUUUACUGAAGGAACAAGGACUUGACCUGCUCUAGGCGGCCAGCCCCUGUGUGGAUUCGCUGUGUACCUCCACCGCUCCCCCCGCGGAGGGCCGGGACUGUAAAGCGUUCUCGUAUCAGUUCUGUUCUUUGAGCAUUCAUCGGACAUUGCUAAUCUUCUCUCGUGGUCCUUUGUGUUUUGGCUGUUGGUGAAAUGAAGCUAAUAGCAAAGCUUUUGUAUCUGAUUUUUCUUUUUCAUGGGCAAUUUGGGCCCAUGUUAAAAGUGGUACUCCAGAAACUGGAGGGGGAGGGAGGUGACAGCAGGUGGGGAAACCAGUGAUGGUGAGAGCACAGCUCCCCAGCCUGUCUGCACCUCCCUGGGGCUGAUGUUGAAUGGGGCUGCACGAGGUGGGGCUUGGUCAUGCCUGUGGCCGUGGCCCCUCCUGUCUGCUGGAUGGCACACUGCCUCCUCCAUCCAGCUAUCCAUCCAUACGAUCUUAUAGGCUACCUCAGUCGACAGACAGUUGCAUCUGAAGCCACCUCCCUGCUUUUUGCUUUAAAUGAAUGAGUUGACAGAUUCCUUUUCUCACCUGUUUUUACUACAUCUGCUGAAUAUCCUGAAUAAGUUCCUUACUAAUUUUACCAGUUGUGUUGGGCACCGUACUCUUCUCAAGAGGACUCGUCCCAGCCUUCGCUACCUGACAGUAACCAGCAUUUGCCUCUUGUAUUUAAGGAGUUUUUCCCCUUUCAGAGGGUGCUUCUACACACAGCACCAGAGUUUCUUCUCCCACCAGUCCCAGGAAGCAGGCAGGGGCAAAUGGUAACUUCCCAUUUCAGGAAACAGGCUCAGAGCAGUUAGGUGUCCUGGGUGGGUCCGCAUCCCCAGUGUGGAUGGUGUCCUGUUCCCUCCCCUGCAUCAUCUCGGUCAUUCCCCUUGGAAGCCUCUGCUGCCGUCACACAACCUGGGGGCUCCAUCUCUCACCCACUCCCAGUGCUCCUCUCAGCGGUGGGGCUGGGGGGAGCCGUGACCUGCUCUGGGGAGAUAGGGUCUGACUCUGCUGUUUCUCCCACUCCCAGCUAGGCUGCUUCCUUGAACAAGUUGGUAUCUUGCUCCCGAGACCUUCCAAUCAGUCUUGGAAGUUUUAUUUCUGUUAGGGCUUAUUUAAAUGCAGGAAAUUUAAUUAGUUUACAUGAAUGCUGCACUGUCUUCCUCUGUGAGUGAGCUGGAAGACACUAACAGGGGUUUGAGCAGCUCAGUCUAGCUGCAUCUAACAAUUUCCUUCCCCUGCCUUCUCCUUUAGAUAAUUGCAAAUGGUCCCGUCAGUCAAGGCGGCAGAGCACAGUGCUUUACUGCCAUGUGGAAUUGUUUAGUUAAAUGUGAUUUUUUAAAAAAUGGCUCAACUUUUAAUUAGAAAGCAGAUUGUCGAAUGACAUUCUGAUUUGUUCUUUGAUGGUGGAGCUGCAAAAUAGGCCCAUCACGAUAAGAAGCCAGGUUCAACUCCAGAAGGAGGCUUAUUAACUUAAGAGCAGGAUGUGAUUUCUGUGAGUCAUUGUUUUCCUAAAAUAGGCCAUCUUCUCUAGUCUUUUUGUUGAGAGACCUUCCUCUGCCUCUGAUACCACCUCAGAUUAACAUUUUCCUGGGGGGAGAUUGGAAUCCCCCAAAAAGGGCAGUGCUCCCAGUGGUGUAACUGCCAGGGCACAGAACUGAUUCCAAGUCCUUCUGCUGGGACUUCUUGAAAACAUCCAUGUCAGGAAAUCAGCAAACGUGUUAAGAUGCUGGUAAUUGAAGAAAAUAUCAGGUUACGUACUUUACUUCCCAUUGUGAUGUGAUGCAGACACCAUUUUACUGUUUACAUGACUGUUUUCUUAGCCCCAAGCCUGGUAUCUGCUUUACUACCGAAGGGCGUCGUAGAAGCACCUGCACACGUCCUGGGCGAGUUUGGCACCGUGGGCUCCCCAUGUGGUGCGCCCCACGCCAGCCCCACCCCUGGCUGGCACCGUGGCGGACAUCCAGGUGCCUGGAGAGCAAAGUUUGUAAUGGGAAUAGCAGAUGAGGGGCUCUUAGUCCAGUGUGGUUGGCACUGUGGUGGAGGUUGUUACUGGAUAUCAUGGGAGCACAGACAUGAACCCCUCACUCAUCUUGGGGACUGGAAAAUCAUGAAAUGCUUUCAAGAGUAUGUGACCCUUGACCUUCAAGACCCAUGAGUCUUGAAGGCAGAGUUUGCCAAGCAGAAGGAGUGAUGGGGAGGAAAGAGGUGGAAAAGGGUGUUUCCGAUGGCUGCAUGGGUGGAGGCCCGGGAGGCCAGCAGGGGCAUAGCAUGCCCAGAGGUCUGCGCGGAGGACCGCCGUGGCCACUGCAGUUGGAGGCGUGGCUGGGCUGGGCACUGAACGGUGGGCAGAGGUCAGAUCCUAAAGUGGAACGCCCCGUGGGCCUUUACACUGGGGAGACACUGGAUCAGGUUUGAUUGUACAGUGGGGAUGCUGUGGGCUCUCUCCUUCCACGUCUUCUCCCGAAUGCUGGUGAUCCGAUUCAGACACGCCAGCGUGUUCAUCAGUUCCCACGGGCAUGGGACCCAGAAUUCCACAGACUUCCAAGUUUAAGGAUGACUGCAGGCUCUCUCCCGGAAGUCACAAGGCUGUUAUUAAAAGUUACUGACAUGCGGUUGGUGUUAAAUUACAGUCCGCCUCCCCUUUCCUCGGGUUCUGCAUCGGUGGAUUCAGCCAACUGCCGAUUGAAAAUAAUUUGAAACAAGGAAAUUUCCAGAAGUUUCCAAAAAAAGCAAAAAUUGAGUCUGCCACAUGCCAGCAACUCUUCACGUAGCAUUUACAUUGUGUUUGGUAUUACAAGUGAUCGAGAGAUGAUUUAAAAUGUACGGUAGGAUGUGUCAUUGUUGUAUACAAACACUAUUCCUUAUAUGAGGUACCCAGGGGAGGCAGGAUCCUGGAACCAACCCCCUGCAGAUCCCGAGGGACAGCUACUGCCCUGCAGGGAGUUUCUGGAUGACUCUGUCUUGUCCUCCACUGGGAGUCUGAUGUGUUUCAGGUUCCCAUGGAGCACGGACUUGACACAGGCUGUCGGAUUUCCCAUAGAUUUGGGAAACGGCAUUCCAGCAGUGCAGUGUCACCACCAUCUCGAGUUUGUGACACUUUUUAAUUGCAGGAAUCCAGAUGUGCAAUUAUCAAUUACUGUCAGCUUGGCUUUUAUUAGUUUAGCACCAUUUGGUCAGUGUUAACCUUGAAGUGUGGGUGGUGUGUAUUUACGCCAGGGAUGUCUUUUGUCUGACGAGUUUCCAACAACUAGGCUUUAAAACAUGGAUGAGGUUUAGAUGACCCCUUUGCUGAAGAAGACGUGUACAUGCCCUGCAUUUGCUGCUACGGUGAUUCUUCGCAGUUACUGAGUAUGUUUUGCUGGUAAGGGGAAGUGUGGGAUGGGUCCACACCCAUCCACGGGCAGUGAUUUUCAGGGGAUUUAGAAAUGUUCGUGCUGUUCAGGGCUUGAGAAAGGGGCAAGUUCAGGCAGGGAAACUGAGGUUAGGCUGUUGCAUAAAUCUGCAUGAGCAAGACAAAGGCCUAACCUGGCGGUAGUGAGGGUGGAGCAGGAGGAUAUGUUGAGAGAUAUUUAAGAAGUGGGACUGGUAAGAUUUAGGGGACAGUUUGAUACAGGGAAUGGUGGGGAGGCAUCCAUGAAGACCCCCAAACUUCUGGUUUGGGCAACAUUAGUAAGAGGGGCGGACUUGGAUCAUUCAGGAAAUACUUACUGAGCCCCUGGUUGGGGGAAGUGGGCAAAAAUGAUUAACUCUUUAAAAAGAAAGAAGGGUGGGACAAAAGAAGAGGUGUUUUAAAGGUAUAAGAAAGGCCAAAGGGCACUCAGUUUUGACUGAGGGGACCAGGCGAGUUUUCUCAGUGGCCAGUGUGUGAAGCAGGCCAAGGAGAGAGGACCUGGGUGCAGGUGCAGGUUGGCUGGUUCUGCGCCACGCACAGCGGGAUGGGAGGACGGCUGCUCGACGUGGCAUCGGGGACGGGGCUGGGCUCUGCACACAGAGCCCGGAGGGCCGGGCCGAGUUCACACUGUGUCUUGUUGGCGCCGGGGCUUAUUAGUUAGAGGACUAAGAGCAGACUUGGUUUCAAUGAAAUCAUUCUGUCUGGAGACUGAGGAAUUAGGAGGUUGGAGGCAGGAAGACGUGUGGGGUGAGGGCAGGCGGAACACGCAGGCUCUGGGUGUCUGUGCAGCGGGGGUUUCAUUUGGAGAUGGGUGGGCCAUGGAGUCUAGAGUCAGUGCAGAAGGAGAAUGAUCAGCCUCCACGAGGGAAGGCAGGGUCGAAGGUGACCCGGAGACCCUCCCUCACUUAGGUGGCGUGGGUACCGGAGGUGGCUGCGGCCCCAUGUGGUCAGCGCGGGCGGGCUCGUUGCUGACGCGGAGCACUCGGUGGAGCCCAUGGAUGGACCACAGGCAAAAUCAGCAGACUCGGUCGUCAGCACCCGAAAGCCUCUUGCUCUCUGCCGUUUGCCCAAACUGUCCUCAUCGGCUGUUCAGUUUGGUGAACCAGCUUAAGGUUCAGCCAAAAAGGUGACUUUCAAAUUAAAGAUCAAAUACUCAUCACUUUGUUAGUGCGAACUCCGCUCCGGCAGCCUGAGUUCAUCGUCUGAUGGGACCGUUCUCCUCCUUCUACCCCAGAGCGACCCUCUGGCAGCAGGAAGGCCUGCAGUGAAGCGCGCAGGAUGGGCUCCAAGAUGUUGGCCAGUGUGUCUGUAGCGGCCUUUUUAGGUUGAUCUUCUCGCCCAAAGACACACUGGUUUCAGGACAGUGCCUAGCACAUCGAGGCUGCCCUGUAUUUGGGGAAUCAGUGACUGGUCAGGUGGAUCCGUCAGUGCAUCAGUCUGUACAUUCACAGUUGAGCAGUGCCUGGUGGGCUGGGAGGGUUGUUUGCUUCAGGUCAACUGGUGAGAACAAACUGCUGCGCUUGAGGUUGCUGGUAGAAGGAAAGUUAAGGCCUGAGAGACGAAGUACCCUGCCUAAAGUCAAAUAACUGGACGUGGCAGAGCUGUGGCUCAAACCUGGUUUCAGACCCACGUUCUUACCUCUGCGCCGGGCUGUUUCCUUGGUGUGGUUUAACACUGCCCCUGACAGCACUGCUCCCCGACCCGAGCACCUCCACAGGGCACAGAAGUGACAAGAUCCAGGUUGUGUGGGUGGCAGGACCGCAGGCGCAGCCAGUCUCCCUGCAUGGUCUGUCUGACCUGAUCUCCGCUCCGCCUGCCGCCCAGCGUGCAGCCCUGGACCGUGGGCUCUGUGAGGGCAGACCUGAGUCUUCCACCUCCUCCUCAGCUCUGGAGCAGAGCCAGACACUAAUAG